rnacentral:rRNA from 1 species
UACAGAGGUGGCAAGCGUUGUUCGGAAUUACUGGGCGUAAAGGGCUCGUAGGCGGCCAACUAAGUCGGAUGUGAAAUCCCCAGGCUUAACCUGGGAACUGCAUCCGAUACUGGAUGGCUUGAAUCCGGGAGAGGGAUGCAGAAUUCCAGGUGUAGCGGUGAAAUGCGUAGAUAUCUGGAGGAAUACCGGUGGCGAAGGCGGCAUCCUGGACCGGCAUUGACGCUGAGUGAGCGAAAGCCAGGGGAGCAAACGGG